CGCUGCUUCUGCGUAGUUUGAUGCGACUGUUGUUAAAUCUCUACUAUUCGGAAAAUGUUCGUUGCUGUUGUUGCUCACGUAGUGCGAUAUCUUUCUGCAGUUCCUGAUACAAGUUUAUUAAAAUGAUUAAUCCCUAAUGCAGCGCAAACACAACAUGUUUGCAGGCUCUUUUCCAGGGUAUACGUACAAUUAACUAUGUCAUGACGCAAAGGCAUCUGUUCCAGGACUACAAGGUGCACUGGAGAACCCUGGCUGCCGGACAUUGCUUUAUAGCCAGCCAAUCAGAAUGGGAUGGCCAAUUUUUGGAGGCUGAGACUACAACAUACUAAAGAGCUAAAAGAGAACCCACUGCACUCUACCCAUCACAGAAACUGAAGAGGACCGGAAUCAGUGUCUCUGGAGUGUUUUGACAGCAACUCUGACCGAAAACGCUCUGAUCGCACAUGACAAAGGUCAAUGUUCUCUAGAUUUCUACAAGCAGGAGAGCACCGAGGCCAAGUGUGUUUUUGUAUUGUUG